UACGGAAGGGGCAAGCGUUGUUCGGAAUCAUUGGGCGUAAAGGGCGCGUAGGUGGUUCUGUAUGUCUAUCGUGUAAGCGUACGGCUCAACCGUAUUUUGUCGGUAGAAACUGCAGGACUUGAGGCUGGGAGGGGCUGGUGGAAUUCCCUGUGUAGCGGUGAAAUGCGUAGAGAUGGGGGAGAACACUCGUGGCGAAGGCGGCCAGCUAGACCAGUUCUGACACUGAGGCGCGACAGCGUGGGGAGCAAACAGG
rnacentral:rRNA from 1 species